GACGAACGCUGGCGGCGUGCUUAACACAUGCAAGUCGAACGGAAAGGCCCUGCUUUUGUGGUGUGCUCGAGUGGCGAACGGGUGAGUAACACGUGAGUAACCUGCCCUUGACUUUGGUAUAACUUCAGGAAACUGGGGCUAAUCCCGGAUAGGAGCUCCUGCUGCAUGGUGGGGGUUGGAACGUUUCGGCGGUUGGGGAUGGACUCGCGGCUUAUCAGCUGGUUGGUGGGGUAGUGGCUUACCAAGGCUUUGACGGGUAGCCGGCCUGAGAGGGUGACCGGCCACAUUGGGACUGAGAGACGGCCCAGACUCCUACGGGAGGCAGCAGUGGGGAAUAUUGCACAAUGGGCGGAAGCCUGAUGCAGCAACGCCGCGUGCGGGAUGACGGCCUUCGGGUUGUAAACCGCUUUCGCCUGUGACGAAGCGUGAGUGACGGUAAUGGGUAAAGAAGCACGGGCUAACUACGUG
rnacentral:rRNA from 1 species